UCUCCGUUGGUGAACCAGCGGAGGGAUCAUUACUGGAAUCGCAAGACUCCCAACCCCUGUGAACGUACCGAAACGUUGCCUCGGCGGGCCUCGCGCCCGCCGGCGGCCCCUUACUCUGACUCAUUGCGUUGGCAUCUCAGAGAAAACACAAACCAAUCAAAACUUUCAACAACGGAUCUCUUGGCUCUGGCAUCGAUGAAGAACGCAGC
rnacentral:misc_RNA from 1 species